AGACAAAAAGAUAUUUCAAGCUCCUGAAGAACAAGUUUGAAGGAUUCAGAGCAGAGAAUUGCACCCUGGCAUGAUGCCUAUGCCAGCUGGACUGUGUGAUUUUUGUUCUUUAGUAGAAGGAUAACAUGACAUAGCAGGAAUAAUACUGCCUUUUCUUUCUGGCAUGGAUCAAGAGAAAAGAAAAUACAAGAAAACAGACAGAAGAUCCUAUCUGCGACAAUUAAGAGCACUCUAAGAGGAAAACACAUCCCACCACACAAGGCAAGGUACUUCUAUGGAAGGGUGAGCCCUCACAGAUGGAGCAAUGGGGCGCGCACACCUGAACAAGGGAGGGGAAGGAGUUCUUAUCCCUGAUGCAUGUGACCCCUGCUGCUGUGUCCUUCCCCUAUUGGCUAAGGUUAGACCACACAGCCUAAACUAAUUCCGAUUGGCUAAUUCAAAGAGAGCGACGGGGGCUUCUGACAGCUUUGGAGAUUGUGACAUUGGAAUAAAGGAAAAACGUACAGGACUCAUGAAGCGCUGAAAUGUUCACAAAUAUCAAGCAAAAGUCAAUGAAAUUUAUUUUGAGCUAUUUACAUCAUUUAAUAAUUGAGCAAGGUAUACUCCUAUGAACAAAAUUUGGAGCAUGUUUGUCUCUCUCUGCCUGGCGUCUUCAGAAUUUGGAAACUAGUUAAAAUUGUUGUCUUAUUUUCAUCCUCUUUAAAAGAUGGUUUAUAAUCAGCUAUAGAAUUUUAACACGUGCUCUCAAAUGCAAGUUUCUGAUAACUUUGGAGAUUGUGACAUUGGAAUAAAGGAAGAGCUGGAAUGUUCAUGAAUAUCAAGCAAAAGUCAUGGAAAUUUAUUUUGAGCUAUUUACAGCAUUUAAUAAUUGAGCAAGGUAUACUCCUAUGAACAAAAUUUGGAGCAUGUUUGUCUCUCUCUGUCUGCCUGGCAUCUACAGAAUUUGGAAACUAGUUGAUGCAAUUGGAGAAACUGGUUGUUUUACCAAGGCUUUGACUGGAAGGAUAUGCUUCCCUUUAAGAAACCAAGCUCAACUUACAGAGCUGAUAAAACCCCUUUGGGAAAACUGGCCUCAUACCUUGUCUACACAGUCCCCAUGCAGGGUUCCUAACGUGUGUCGUUCCCAGAUUUCCUAAACUUUCCAGAGAAAAUGGUCUUCUCCCUGGCUCAGCAAGAAGAUGAACUUUAAACACUGAGAAACUGGUCAUCUCCCUGGCUCAACCAGAAGAUGAACUUUAAACACUACUCUCAAUGACUUGAUGUUCCCAUCACUACUCCUGUCAUAAAGGGAGGGGACUCAGAUAUUGAGAAUUUUAUGAUAGUGUGAACUGUCUGGUAUGUCAUUUAAGUAAGCCCGUUGCUGAAAUAUUUUCCAUGUUAUUAGAAAGAGCUGAAGAGAGGGAUUGAGAUGGCUUCUUUAUUUUUUGUCUUUUGGGAAUUAAAGGAACCUGGUUCAACAAGGGCCUACACCUAAGUCUCUUGUUGUACCAGAGUACAAUUUAGGACUGCUCCUGAGGAAGGAAUUAGCUAGAAAUCUAGAGAGUAAGGGUAACAGAUUUACAUAGAAUAACAGCCUCAGUAUUUUUGGUUCCUCUCCAGUAAAGAUCACAAAGAAUAUUGCUAAAUCGCUAAAACACCUUUGCAAUAACGUAAGGGCUUACAACUAUAUACCAAUGUAGCUCAGUUACUAAACUGGAGUAAACUAAUUUCUCUUGUGUAGAAAAAUUGGUUGGCUGUGGUUUUAUAGCAGAUCUGCAAUUAUUAAUAGUUAUGCCAAUAAUCGUUUAACAGUGCAUAUGUUAAUAUAUAUGGAAAGACAAUGUGUAUAGACAGAUGUGUAAAAUUGAAAAAUAAACAUAUAACAAGAGAGAAACAUCUAUCGAACAGACAAUAUACAUACACAUCAAACACAACAGCAGUUUUAGUGACCAUAAUAUUUAUUUCUCAUUUUUACAUUGCUUACUUUAGUGACAACUGAAAAUGACAGUUGGCAAUGCAGCUAACAGUUUCAAUAAAAGUAUAAAACAAAA
rnacentral:lncRNA from 1 species